AGAACAGCACAUGUUAAGGAAUGAAGAGUGUACCCGUGUCGGCAAUGGCAACGCGAUCAGGAGUAACAGCCUAGAGUUAGCUGCCUCCAGUAACCCGAUUUUAAUCGCCCGUUAAAUACCCUUUUUGCCUUUUCCAGAAUGUCAUGAAAAUGGAAUCAGACCGUAUGUAGCCUUUUGAGGAUAGAGGAUCUCCCCCACCACCCCAACUCCAGUGAGCUUUCAGAUGAGAUUGUAGCCCCAGAUGACAAUGUAAGUUCAAUCUUGUGAGAGACCUUGAGCCAGGGGCACCCAGCUAAGCCAUACUUGGGUUCCUGACCUCUAGAAACUGAAAUAUGUUUGCUAUUAUGUUUUGGGGUAAUUUGUUAUGCAACCAUAUGUAUCUAACACAGAAGCCUUUUAUUAAUAGGAGGUUGAGAAAGUUCACUUUCAUUCCUAGUUUGC
rnacentral:lncRNA from 1 species